rnacentral:rRNA from 1 species
AUACGAAAGGUGCAAGCGUUGUUCGGAUUCACUGGGCGUAAAGAGAGUGUAGGUUGUUUAUUAAGUCGGAUGUGAAAUCCCGGGGCUCAACCUCGGAACUGCAUUCGAUACUGGUAGACUAGAGUUCGGGAGGGGUAAGCGGAAUUCCGUGUGUAGCAGUGAAAUGCGUAGAUAUACGGAGGAACACCUGAGGCGAAGGCGGCUUACUGGACCGAUACUGACACUGAGACUCGAAAGCGUGGGUAGCAAACAGGAUUAGAAACCCGGGUAGUCC